AGAAUUUGCAAGAGCAAAACAGCUGAUCGCAAACUAAAAAUAUGUAAACACAAAUUAAAAUUUACGAAUUGAGUUUAGAACAUUGAUAAGAAAAUGAAUCGGCGAAUGAAAUACAGGCUCUUCAGCACAAAAGAUGAGGUUGAGUGCAAACCUCUCAUACAUAGAAUCUAGAAUAGACGGAAGCAAGGAAAAUAUGAAGAAAGUUGUGAUUGCUAAUGCUAAUGAAAUGUUCGUCAUUUAACAGCGACGAUGAAACGGAACAAAUUGUUGUGAACAAAAUAAAACCAUUUGAUGCCAAGCUCGUUA